AAUGAACGUUGGCGGCGUGGAUUAGGCAUGCAAGUCGAGCGAGAACCGUAGCAAUACGGGGACAGCGGCGAAAGGGAGAGUAACACGUGGAUACCUACCCCCAGGUCCAGGAUAGCCGUGGGAAACUGCGGGUAAUACUGGAUGAUAUCUCCGGAUCAAAGGUGUGAUUCCGCCCGGGGAUGGGUCCGCGUCCUAUUAGCUAGUUGGUAGGGUAACGGCCUACCAAGGCAAAGAUGGGUAUGGGGCGUGAGAGCGUGCCCCCACUCACUGGGACUGAGACACUGCCCAGACACCUACGGGUGGCUGCAGUCGAGGAUCUUCGGCAAUGGGCGCAAGCCUGACCGAGCGACGCCGCGUGCGGGAUGAAGGCCUUCGGGUUGUAAACCGCUGUCAGAGGGGAGGAAAUGCCGGUGGGUUCUCCCAUCGGUUUGACCUAUCCUCAGAGGAAGGACGGGCUAAGUUCGUGCCAGCAGCCGCGGUAAGACGAACCGUCCAAACGUUAUUCGGAAUCACUGGGCUUAAAGGGUGCGUAGGCGGUGCGGAAAGUUGGGUGUGAAAGCCCUCGGCUCAACCGAGGAAUUGCGCCCAAAACUACCGUGCUCGAGGAAGAUAGAGGUGAGCGGAACUUAGGGUGGAGCGGUGAAAUGCGUUGAUAUCCUAAGGAACACCAGUAGCGAAAGCGGCUCACUGGGUCUUUUCUGACGCUGAGGCACGAAAGCUAGGGGAGCGAAGAGGAUUAGAUACCCUCGUAGUCCUAGCCCUAAACAAUGAGCACUGGUUUGGAGGGCCCUCCAUAGCCCUCCAGACGUAGCGAAAGUGUUAAGUGCUCCGCCUGGGGAGUAUGGUCGCAAGGCUG
rnacentral:rRNA from 1 species